GUCCUCUAGGUCUGCAGCUGCAAGAUCUGCUCCUCUGGCUCCCGGGACCGCCUGCAGGGCUGGGCUCGGGUGCAGACGCCUGGCUCCUCCAUCGGGGCCUCCACCAGGGCCGCACCUGCCUCGCCUCAGUUGGGGAGAACACGCUCCCCCCAGGACCUUUGGCCCCUGGAAGGGGGAGCAGCUGGCUCUCCUCUCCUGGAAAUCCAUCAUCUCUGCACCAGCCCAGCACUGGGCGUGCGGCUUAGGAAGAGGUCAGCCCGCCCGUGAGCAGCAGUCCUGCUUCCCUAUUUAAAGGCGAGUGUGCAAUGCCUGGCCUGCCACCCAGAGCCGAGGGGGCAGCAGGGACGUUGGGGCCCCGUGAGCCUGCCUCUCUCAGCCACGCCGAUGGGUCCUUGGCCAAGGAGCCUCCAAUCCUUGGCCGAGUCAGACACAAACCCCAUGUGCCCGGCUUGCACACAGAGCCAGCGAGCCUCCUGCUUGCACGUUCAACCAGGAACACAGAUCGGGUCGGCCAGCGGAAGUGCUGCGGGAGGAACUGGGGCCCGGCCUGCAGCCGAGCAGUUUCUGGGGCUGCACGUGGGGGCGAGCCGUCCAGACUCAAGGCCAAGCUCCCGAGAGCCCCCGCGAGAGCAGGCCCCUCAGCCUCGGCACCUCCAUCUCCUUGGGAUUCCUCGUGCGUGGCCUUCUUUGCAAUUUCCCUGCACAGAACCUGCACCCAGGUGGCUGAGCGCCAGGCUGAAACCUUGGCGGGACUCGACUCACUGAAGACGCAGUCCUGAGUCCAAGUUCGGGCACCAAGUGGAGGUGGGACGCCGUGCUGGGCCCCGGGAGCCUGGCCCGGAGCGGACGCUGCCUCGGCCCCCGCGGCAUAAACACCCAGGUGAGCGAUGCGCUCCGGGUGGCUCUGAGCGUUCAGUCCUUGACAUGCGACACACGGACACAGGGCCCAGGAUGGGGGAGGGGGCUUCACAAAGGGGCAUUUCCACCAAGAUGUCAAUGCUGAGGAUGAGUGACAAGCUGGGGCAUCUCGGGAACGAGUGGUGGUGACAUCGGACAGUGUCACGAGUGCACCUGAUGCCGCUGACUCGCGCGCCGUCCCGGGGGAACGUUUUACGUUGUCUCUGUUUUACCACUAUGUGUAUCCAGAUGGUUUAUACGUAAUAUGUUCUACGUACUUACCUGUGAUGCUAUCGCCGUGUGCUGUAGACGUGUGGAGGCCUGCGGGUGUGCACACGGUGUAGAACUUACACGCAGCUGAUAGCACGCCAUCCGUACGUACGAAGGAGAGCCCUCGGCAGCCCACCGGCGGGAGAAGCACUUUCCCGUCGUCCUUGGGUUUUCUAAAGCGAAGCCAGAACAACAAUGGGGACAAAGAUACCGGGGUGGCACCCGGGUGGCUCAGUGGGUGAAACAUCUGCCUUGGGCUCAGGUCCUGAUCCCGGGGUCCUGGGGUCGAGCCCCCACGUCAGGCUCCCUGCUCAGCGGGGCAUCUGCUUCUCCCUCUCUCUGACCCUCCUGGCGCUCGUGCUCUCUGUCUCUAUCCCAGUCUCUCUCUGAAAUAAAUAAAUAAGGGAUCCCUGGGUGGCGCA
rnacentral:lncRNA from 12 species